GCGUGAGAAAGCCGACGCCAGCGCGGCGUUCCUCCGGUCUCCGCGGGAGCCUGAAAAUUGAGGUCACAAAUCCAGUAUGAAAACUCUGACAGCUGUCAGGAAGGAGGUUAUUGAAUUCAUUGGAGAAUGAGUGCUGUCCCAAACUUGGAACCAAGAAAUUGAUACCUGCUUGUGCGGAAACUCUGCAGUCCCUGUCUGAAAAGCUUCACCUCUUGCUUACUAAGGAACAGAGUGUGAUGAAUUACAACAGCAAAACCAGGAUGGCGGACAUCCCAUUCUCACACAAAUGCUUUGUACACUGCGGGUCCCGAUUGGCAGUGUUGGCCUGGAGAUGAAGUUCUCGAUGGCUGUGUAUGAGAGAGAAGAGUGGAGCAAGGUUGGAGCAAGAGACUGGAAGCCAGUCCAUCACCUGUUUCUCGGGGACCUCACUUCACCUCUUUAAGUUUCAGUGUCUCCGUCUGUUGGUGGAGAGUGACACACAGCACCUUCACUCUCAGAGUCAUAAAUGUCAUUGUAAAGCACGGGAGGUGCUAGCGAGGCCUGCAAGACCCCAUGGUUCCCUUAAUGUAGCAAA